rnacentral:rRNA from 1 species
UACGUAGGGUGCAAGCGUUGUCCGGAAUUAUUGGGCGUAAAGAGCGUGUAGGCGGCCUUACAGGUCAGCUGUGAAAACUCGAGGCUCAACCUCGAGACGUCGGUUGAAACCGUAUGGCUAGAGUCCGGAAGAGGAGAGUGGAAUUCCCGGUGUAGCGGUGAAAUGCGCAGAUAUCGGGAAGAACACCCGUGGCGAAGGCGGCUCUCUGGGACGGUACUGACGCUGAGACGCGAAAGCGUGGGGGAGCGAACAGG